rnacentral:rRNA from 1 species
AAGGUCAGGCCUGCCCUAUGAAAUGAAUAGUUUUAAAUGGCUGCAGUAGACUGACUGUGCAAAGGUAGCAUAAUAAUUAGUUUUUUAAUUGGGAACUGGCAUGAAUGGUCUCACGAGAAAAAGACUGUCUCGAUUUAAUUUAAAUUAGAAUUUUAUUUUUAAGUAAAAAAGCUUAAAUGAUCUUAAAAGACGAGAAGACCCUAUAGAGUUUUAUAAAGUUUUGUAAUUUUAAAAGUUAAAGUAUUGUAGAUUUAAUCUUAUAGGAUUUUAUUUGGUUGGGGAGAUUAAAAAAUUAAAAGAACUUUUUUUAUUGUAUACCAUUGAUAUAUGAAUAAGUGAUCCA